ACGUGGGGGGCCAGCGUUGCUCGGAAUUACUGGGUGUAAAGGGUUCGUAGGCGGUGUGGCAAGUCGGGAGUGAAAUCUCUGGGCUUAACCCAGAGACUGCUUCCGAAACUGCUGUGCUUGAGUGUGGGAGAGGCGCGUGGAAUUGCAGGUGUAGCGGUGAAAUGCGUAGAUAUCUGCAGGAACACCCGUGGCGAAAGCGGCGCGCUGGACCACUACUGACGCUGAGGAACGAAAGCUAGGGGAGCAAACAGGAUUAGAUACCCUGGUAGUCCUAGCCCUAAACGAUCAGGACUUGGGGUGCCGCACGUUCGUGCGUCGUCCCGGAGCUAACGCGUUAAGUCCUGCACCUGGGGAGUACGGUCGCAAGACUG
rnacentral:rRNA from 1 species